UACGAAGGGGGGCUAGCGUUGCUCGGAAUCACUGGGCGUAAAGCGCACGUAGGCGGCUUUUUAAGUCAGGGGUGAAAUCCUGGAGCUCAACUCCAGAACUGCCUUUGAUACUGAGAAGCUUGAGUCCGGGAGAGGUGAGUGGAACUGCGAGUGUAGAGGUGAAAUUCGUAGAUAUUCGCAAGAACACCAGUGGCGAAGGCGGCUCACUGGCCCGGUACUGACGCUGAGGCGCGAAAGCGUGGGGAGCAAACAGG
rnacentral:rRNA from 1 species